rnacentral:misc_RNA from 1 species
AAUUCUCAACUUCUAAUACUUUUUUGUAUCAGAAGCUUGGAUUUGGAGGCUUGUGCUGGCUCUAACGAGUCUGGCUCCUCUUAAAUGAAUUAGCGUGAAUCACUAUGGAUCGCUUCGGUGUGAUAAUUAUCUGCGCCGUGGUCGUGAAGUAUUAAUCAAGUUCUCGCUUCUAAUCGUCCUUCACGGGACAAUUAACCCUGAC